rnacentral:lncRNA from 1 species
UUCAUCAUCGACGAAAUAUUUUCUUUUUAUUUCACGCGCUUUGAAUUAUUUAAAUCCUUUACCCACCCCGACCCCUUCGUGCUGCGCACCCCUUUUCGUGCGGGUAACUUUAGCGUUAGAUAUUUGAGCAUACAAAGUCGAUGAGAAACGACGACACGCCAACAUCUCAUAAAUCAUUCAGAACAGAGGAAUAGCGGCCGUUGUGUGUAUGGCUCCCUUCUAAUCGUCCACGUGUUAUUUUUUUUUUUAGUUACGUCAGGAGAUAUGAGCAUGUUACAUGAUGAGCACUCACAUCGCGUAAUAUCGUUCAAAAGAUUAUUGCCACAAACAAAGCGAUGGAAAGAAAAAGAAAAGAUAACGAAUUGAUAUUUCACCAUUCCAGCCCCAAAUCCGGUCAUUUUCGUUGAUCUUAAAGCGAAAAUGUCAACAAUGACCUACAUUUAUCAAGCAUCUUAUUUCAUAUCAAAUAAUAACAAAAUAAAAAUAAAUCCCAUUUUAGUUCAGGCUGCAUAGAAUCCCAGUAGGAUAGAGUUGACAGUGACGGAAUAGAUUUCAUCAAGUGAAUGACUUUCUUUUUUGCUAGAGGCCUUUCGGAUAUCAGUCAGACACUUUAAAAGAAAAGACCUCGAGAGAAGGAGGAGGAGAGACGGGAGUUUUGGGACAGAAACAUGGAAAAGGCGUGCGGCAACUCGCGUUACGAUCCCGCACUGUAGUUCCCCCUCUUUACUUUGUUUUUCAGAAUCGAUAUGCUAUAGUUUGAAGCGAGACUUUUCGCCCCUGUUUCAGAUAACCAACUCCCUCCGCCAUCGUGAAAAGUGUCGUGGUCAGGAGGGAAAGAGGUCAGUGCUCAUUAAUUAGCGACGACAGGACCCUCACGGGAACUCCGACCAACUCCUGCCAAAUGACUCCUUGCUGAAACUCUUUCCGCUUUUAACGCACUCCAAAUUCAUUCGUUUUUCUUUUUCUUUUCCCCUCGCUACUUUUUAAUCAUCACUGCGAGAUUUCGGUGAUUCAAUUGAUCUUCCAUCUCGCCUUGGGAUUGACAUGACACACGCUACCCCCCCUUUCUUCUUUGCCGUUCACGGCCAGAAAAGCGCGAGUGAAACAUGAACUUGAUUUCCUUUGUAGUGAACGAAAAGCGAUUCGAAGAAAGAAAAAAAGAAUCAAAAAAAAAAAAAAAGUUUGGAAACGAACCAAAGCGGAAGUCGAUCGUGACAUCCGUUCCGGUAAUUCCAUUUGCAAUUUCUCAUUCCUCCUACGCUUUACCCUACCCAUACAAAAAUUCCUUUUCUAUAGAACCACCCGUUUCGGGAUGGAGGGACCAAUCGGUAGGGAUUUCCGCGCAUCUAAAAUAACGGACAAUUCCAUAGCGUCGAUUUCCCGUCUGGCGGGAAACGCGAGUCGUCGGGUAUAAAAAUAGCAAAUGAACAAGUUAUCGUUAUGGCCGUGUGUGUCUGUGUCUGUGUGGGUCGCGUGGAAUCGAUUCCGUCUGGACACUGUCGACGCUCGAAUCUCGAAAUGGAACCGACUCCCAAAGAAAAACAAAACACGGCCGCAAACGGUUUACUCUACAAACGUGCCCCGCCCUUCCGUCCCCCUUUUUUUUUUUUCUUUUUCUCAUUUGGCAAACGAAGAGACGGCAACGGAAUUGAACCCCCUCCCCGGAAAAAAACAAAACCAAGUGGCUAAACUUUCCACCCGACCAACCCGCUGUGUAUAAUUUGUCAGUGGAAGGGAGCAAAAAAAAAUAAAUAAAAGAAGGAAAACUUAUUUAGUGGUUGUAGCGACUACGACGAUGGAAACCUUGUUAGUUAAGUAACCAAAAGCAACAACAGCAGCAGGAAGCUAGUUAGCGUUUUGAAACGAACCAACUGGAUGGACGGAGAGAGAUCUCGUUAGUUUUAUGCUUAAGCAGGACCACACACGCACAUGUAAAAUUAGCAAGUUUAGUAGCUAAUUCUAGAAACGAAUCACAAUGAACGCUCUUUUCUCGAAUUUUUUUUUUUUCUUUUCUGGAAUGAAAAUCAAUUCCGAAUGGCCCGCAGUCCGCAACAAAAGCCUCGCAACGCGUAUCAAUCUUUUGUAGCUUCUUGAAAAUCUCUUUUCAAGACAUUUGACACGAGGCUGAAGAAAACGGUAGUCAAACUUUAAAGAAAGAAGCUUCCAAGUUGGAUACGGGCCAACAACGAGUCUCUCGACACCGACUUAUGCACACACACUUGAAACCGAUUCGAAUACGAAUCGCAAAAAAAAAAGAAGCUCUACAUGAAGUCAGUUGCCCAGAAAAUGGGGUCAAUCCCGAAUCCCCCCAUUUCAAAGCCCCCCAAAAAAAAAAAAACUAACCAAGAACAAACAAAAAUAGGGUACGAUCAUCCUUGCGGAAAUCACUUGUACAAAAAAUUGUGUUUUUUUUUUCCCCUCUUUCUAUCAGGACAUAUUUUUGACUAACAAAAGAUACGACAACGGCCGUUAUUGCGAACGAGGGUGGCCAGUUGGUUGGCAGCCAAAUAGCUCGGUAGUAUAUACAUAUCUAUACAGUGAAAAGGUUUUCAUGCGAGAGACGAUGACCGUCUAGUAGAUUGAAGGAGGGAAGCUCCCAUAGGUGAUGACUCAGCUGAUGAUGGCCCCAACUGUCCGUCUAACGCUGUAUGGAUUCUUCCCUUUUUUUAAAAUAUAUUAAGCGUGUACCGACACAGACACACACACACAGAACCAUAACCCAAAAAAGAGAGGGCGGUGAAGAAGAUUGAACUGAACACUAGACUGUAUGCAGAAAGGAACAUGAAAAUCCAUUUGAUGCUUUUGAUAGCUCUGACCUAGUUCAACUCUUUUUUUCCCCCUGAAAACGGGGCGUUUCUUCUUGGAUUGGAGGCCGUCUUUCAACGCGGGGAUAUUUCAAAGCGGCUAGAAAGAAAAUGCUCAAAUGGGAAAUCAUUUGCAUGCGUCUACUUUACAUUCCUUCACUUCUACUACCGCCACCACGUUUUUCUCAUCUUUUGUAUACUUUAGUUUUCAUUUUUUUUUCCCCCACGUCGUCAAGUCUUUUUGUCGGCCCUCCUAUAUCUCAAAGAGUCCCCACACGCCCUCCGAAAAAUAAAAAAAAAAAACCGGGGGAGGGAUAAGAAAAAAUAAAUAAAUAGCGCUAAAUAAAGAAAAGAAGAGCACUGGCGUGAAAAUGGUGUCAACCAAACAAACAAACGGGUGCGUGCGUGCCACUAAAAAAAAAAAAGUCGGUUUUGGUGGCUAAACGGAUUUCACCGUUGCUACACUUACGUUUUCUCUCUGUUGUCAUUCUGUUCUAUAUUAAAAAAAAAAAAAAAAAAAAAAAAA